rnacentral:rRNA from 1 species
UACAGAGACCUCAAGCGUUAUCCGGAAUCAUUGGGCGUAAAGCGUGCCGAUAGGUGGUUGAAGUAGUCUUGGGUAAAAGCCAGAAGCUCAACUUCUGCGUUUGCUUAAGAUACUUUUCGACUAGAGGGGCAAAGAGGUGCUUGGAACGAAUGGUGUAGUAGUGAAAUGCGUUGAUAUCAUUCGGAACACCGAAAGCGAAGGCAGAGCACUGGGUGCCACCUGACACUGCUAGGACGAAAGCGUGGGUAGCGAAUGGG